rnacentral:rRNA from 2 species
UGGCGGCGUGCCUAAUACAUGCAAGUCGAGCGGACAGAAGGGAGCUUGCUCCCGGAUGUUAGCGGCGGACGGGUGAGUAACACGUGGGUAACCUGCCUGUAAGACUGGGAUAACUCCGGGAAACCGGAGCUAAUACCGGAUAGUUCCUUGAACCGCAUGGUUCAAGGAUGAAAGACGGUUUCGGCUGUCACUUACAGAUGGACCCGCGGCGCAUUAGCUAGUUGGUGGGGUAAUGGCUCACCAAGGCGACGAUGCGUAGCCGACCUGAGAGGGUGAUCGGCCACACUGGGACUGAGACACGGCCCAGACUCCUACGGGAGGCAGCAGUAGGGAAUCUUCCGCAAUGGACGAAAGUCUGACGGAGCAACGCCGCGUGAGUGAUGAAGGUUUUCGGAUCGUAAAGCUCUGUUGUUAGGGAAGAACAAGUGCGAGAGUAACUGCUCGCACCUUGACGGUACCUAACCAGAAAGCCACGGCUAACUACGUGCCAGCAG